UUUGAAGAGAUGUUUAUCCAAGUCCUUUGCUUAUUUUAAAAUUGGGUUAUUUGGGUUUUUUGUUGUUGAGUUAUAGGAGCUUUAUAUAUUGUGGGGUUAGAUAUGAUUUGCAAAUGGUUUUCUCUCAUUUUAUAGGUUGCCUUUUACUCUGUUCAUUUUGUGUUUUGAUGCAGAAUUUUCAAUUUUUAUGUAGUCACGUUUAUCUAUUUUUACUUUUAUUGCCUGUGUUUUGGUGUCAUCUCCAAGAAAUCCUUGCCAAAUCCAAUGUUGUGAAUAUUUCUCCCUAUCUUUUCUUCCAAGAGUUUUAUAGCUUUAGGUCUUAUAUUUAGGUCUUUGAUCCAGUUAAAUUUUGUAUAUGUUAUAAGGUGGGGAGGGGGGAGGUCAAAUUUCGCUAUUCCGGACAUGGAUAUCAAGUGUUCCUAACACCAUGUGUUGAAGAGACUGUCCUUUUCCCAUUGAAUGGUCUUAACACCCUUGUUGAAAAUCAUGUGACCAUAUAUGCAAUUUUUAUUUCUGGGGUCUCUAUUCUACUCCAUGGGUCUACAUGUCUGUCUUUAUACUAGUACUACACUAUUUUGAUUAUUAUAGCUUUGUCAUAAAUUUUGAAAUCAGGAAGCAUGAGACCUUCACUUUUGUUUUCCUUUUUCAAGAUUGUUUUGGCUAUUCAGGGUCCCUUGAGAUUCCAUAUGAAUUUUAGGAUAGAUUUUGCUAUUCCUGCAAAAAAUGUUGGGAUUUUGAUAGAGAUUGCAUCACAUUUGUAGAUUAUUUUGGGUAGUAUUUACAUCUUAACAAUACUAAGUCUUUCAAUCCAUGAUCACAUGAUGUGUUUCCAUUUAUUGGUGUCUUCUUUAAUUUUUUCCAGCAAUGUUUUGAAGUUUUUAGUGUACAAAUCUUUUGUUUGCUUGAUUUGGUGUAUUAUUAUCUUAUUCUUUUUGAUGUUAUUAUAAGUGGGAUUGUUUUCUUAAUUUCUUUUUCAGAUUGUUCAUUAUUAAUGUAUAGAAAUGCAACUGAUUUUUGUGUGUUGAUUUUGUAUCCUUUAACUUUGCUGAAUCCAUUUAUUGGUUCUAACAGUGAGCUAUUCUUAGUCAUGGAAAUUUUAUCAUAUGUUUUACCAUCUUGCAAGACACAGAUACUCUGAUUAUUUUUCUCUUUUAGAAUUUUAUAUUGGCUAUUUUUCAAAUUUGAAAUCACAUCACAUUCUUGUGAGGCCAUCCCAAUCUCCACAUAUGGAUGAACGCAUGGAAUGCUCUGAUGGGCCUUAACCCCCACAUUCCUAGAAUGUGAUUUCUUUCAAUGUUGACAUACCCCUGCCUUCCACACACAGCCAUCUGCAGGCCGGCUAGGCAAAAGGCCUGUGGAUGGAGUGAGAAGAGCAAGAUAUGUCCAUUGUGCAAGGCAUGCCCAAACAUUUUCCACCAUGGCUUAAAACUGAAGCUGGAGAGCAUGAUGUCACCAUGUCAGCUGGAGGCAAGAAAGGACAUUGGUUGGAAGGGACCACUGGUGUUGCAGAGCAACAGUCUCGAAGGCUCUCGGAGGCUAUGGCUGAGACCACCCCCAGAGGCCUGCUUCAUAUGUGGCAUGAAGCCCGUGAGGUGUGGGGAGACUGCCCUGGGAGUCAGAGUUGGGCACGCACAAGGUGAACGAUGCCUGCUGCCAUUGGAUGUCAUAGACCUGAGGCAGCACUGUGAACAGAACAUGGAAGGGUGAGAGUGGAUGCAUGGGUCCACACAUGUGACAAUGGGCUUUUGAUAGCCCAGAGUUCUGAACUUAUUCUGUGAAAAAUGUGAGUGAGAGUCACCCUAAGUCAGACCUUCAGCACCAUUUUAGGCACCCAUACCCUAGGAUGCACAUCGUGGGAUUCGUACUCUGGGAUCCACACCUUGGGAUCUCACCCUGGUAAGCCCACCUCCCCUUUGUGUUUCUCAAGCCACAAGUGAGUGGUGCUGCCACAGGGUUCUCCAUCUAAGGCACGUCCACCUGGGGUAUCAAUUUUAUUUGAAUAUCUGAGGGGAUAAAAUUAAGCAUUUUAACUGGGAAAUAACUUUAUCUUUAAACAGUUACAACAGAUAUAGAUGUAUUUUGAAGCAGAAUGCAACAUGCACAAUACUUCAUACUUAGAGCUGUCCACUUGAGUCCUGGUCCUGCUGGCCUUGCAAGGACAUAGGCUAUUUCCUCUAUGUAUUUUUAAAAAAUUUAUUAUCAUUAUUAACAUAUAAUUAAUAUAAUAUAACUUCAGCACGUUAAGGUAUACAAUUCAGUAGUUUUCAGUAUAUUCAUAAUGUGCAACUAUCCCCACAGUUCCCCUGUGUUUAAGGGUCCCUUUCAUGGAAAGGUUCAGGAAGUGCUGCCUGCCGAUGCCACUCUGCCUCCAGAGUAGAAUUUGCAGCAUCAGUGACAGGAGAUAGGGAAAAACCUUUAUUAGAGGAGGACUGGGUGUCAUGGGGCUGCAUUUUCAGCUCCUAUCAAGUCCUUCCACUUAGGCAACUCUCCUUCUUUCUAUUUGGGAGGCAGACCAUUGCUUCGUGUGAGAGCUUGAGUAUUCAUGCUGUGAUGUGUGGAUUAUCACCCAAAGAAACAAGGAUGGAGUUUUCCUGCCAUCGACAUCACUGACUCACAAAGGACAGCUUAGAAACUGUGAAGACUCCUGAGAGACUAGAAGGGGCUGGACUUGCUUUUAAUCAGGUUUCAAUGCAGAGACGGGUGUCCUGUCAGUUCCCUUAUUCAGAGACACGUUUGUUGUGGCAUUAAUAAACAAAGUCAGCAUUCCCUGGAGACCAACAAAAGCCUGAUCCAAUGUGAGUUUGUGCGUUUCUGUAAAGAUUUGUGGUGGGAUUCCAGGCAGUAUAAAUAAUAGUCUUCUACUCACUGCAGAUACCUUGACUAUUCCUGGGGGCCAGAUCCUUGGUUAUGUUUUUGUUUUAAAUCACAUUUUAUGCAAAUUCACAGGCAGGCUCAAACAAUGGUGAGUCCUCUUGUCAUUCCUGGCCAUUAGCUCAGCUGAAUGAAGAUUCAGGAGUAGGAAAGCAAGUCUCUGAACUUGCCUCUGCUUUGAGAUUUUCUUAUCUUGCAGAGUCUCCUGAGAUUUUUGCGACAACCAUAUACCUUCUCAAAGCCGUAUAGCAAAGUCUUGCUAGCUUAGAUCCUAAAUUUCAUAAUACACACCCGUUGCAAGUUCCAAGAAUUCACUGUAUCAGAAAAUAGCUCCUGCCUCUUUGAGAAAUGGUAAUUUUUUACGUAGCUCUGAAUAACAUAGCUAUUCUUCAUAGACCACAUACUGUGUGCUGGAUGCUUUACCCAUUAUCUUUAAUCCUCACAACAACCUUGCAAGGUAGGUAUUGGCCUCUGUUGACUGGGCUGCUGAGGCUAAGACAGGUUAGUAACUGGCCUGCUUUCACACGCUGGGCUAGGAAGUGCCCCGCCUCAAAAUUUCCCAAGACACCCUCCCCAGCUUGUGAACCAUACUUCUCAAUUGGUCUCAUGUCAGGAGAAUUGAAACAUGGGCUUUGAGUCAGACAGACAUGAUUCAGAUCCUAGCACCAGUAACUACUAGAUGAAUGACUGGGCAAGUCAGGUAACCUCCCCAAGCCUCAGUUUCCUCAGCUGUAACUGUGAUAAAGAUGCUUUGGGAGGUAGUUAUGGGAAUGGAAUGAGAUGAAUGCUUCCAAGUCCCCAGAAUGGCAUCAGCACAUUGCAUAGCAGACCAGAAUCUCGACAAAUGAUCCUUCUCUUUUCUUCCUUAUUCAUCUUUAUACAUGUUGUGGCACCUGGCACAAAAUAGGUACUCAAAGAAAUAUUUGUGGAAGUAAAUUCAAAGGAUUCUCCAUGACCUUGUUUCAUACGGACAUCAUGAAGUGGGACCCUCUCCAAAAGCUCCCUGGAAGAACAAAAGAAGUUUUGAAGCAUGUCAAAGCUACUCAUGGUUACAAUCUUUAGGAUGAGGCAGACAGACAAAAAUAAUGCUAAAAAUAACAAUAGUACUAACAUUCUGAAGUAAAAUUUACUAGGUGGAGUGCUGUUGCUCUUCAAGGAACAGCAGUAGUUGAGGAUUGUCAAGUACCCUGAAGCACAAGGGACAAUAAAUGUGACAAGAACAGCUCCUGGGUUUGGGGGAUUAUUCAACAACGAUUAGAUUGGUUAGAGACAGUGCACUUUUGUAUGUAUAUCCUUGCUUAAGAGUAGAGAAAAUAAAAUGUAAGAUUUUUGAAUAUGUAACAUGGGGUGUUAGAGUGAAUGCGUCUUCACUGAUGCAGGGAGUGUUUGGCCGGGGUCCAUCUCAGAAAGGAAUUCAAGAGGGCAAACAUGUGGCAUGUGUACUGCUGGUUCCCAGUCAGUCCUAUGACAGGCAUUGCCACUUGAUCAUGAUAAUCUUCCAUUCCUGAGUCCUUCUCAGCAUAGUCAGUUGGGAUUGGCCUGAGUUGGCAUUUAAGAUCAAACAAUUUGUUGUCCCUGGCUCCAAAAAGGAACACUUUUGUGUGCAUUUAGUACCUGAUAUUCAAAAACUCCCUCCUCAGGAAGCUUCCUUUGGUCUCCUGACAUGGCCAGGUCAUGGCACCAAAGCUACUAGCACCUUUCACUACACCACAGAGAUUUUAGUGAAAUAGCCACAUAUAUAUAUAAAUUUUUUAAACUACUUUUUGCAAUGUGUAUGCCCUGGAACUCAGACAUGAAUCUAUGCACACUAGCUUAGAGGACAAUAGAAGUAUCCCUCAUCCCUACUCAAACUUGUUCUUUUUCACUUUUCUUCUCACGAGAUGGGACUUCCCAGGACGUUGCUCAUUCCUUAUGUUUUCCAAGUCCACAAAACCCACAUGAUACAGUGGAUAUUUCUGUGGGAGUUGGACCUACACAUGAUCUUUAAUAGAGGCCUGGCCUGGGUGUCCAUGUUUUGAUUCAGAUGCAUUGGCUUUAAGUAAUAGUAAAUCCCAACUGAAAUUGACUUAAGCAAUAAAGAAACUUACCACACAUAAGGCCGGGCGCAGUGGCUCAUGCCUGUAAUCCCAGCACUUUGGGAGGCCGAGGUGAGUGGAUCACCUGAGGUCAGGAGUUUGAGAGCAGCCUGGCCAACAUGGCGAAACCCCGUCUCUACUAAAAAUACAAAAAUUAGCUGCAUGUGGUGGCAUGUGCCUGUAUUCCCAGCUGCUUGGGAAGCUGAGGCAGAAGAAUGGCUUGAACCCGGAAGGUGGAGGUUGCAGUGAGCCGAGAUCACGCCACUGCACUCCGGCCUGGGUGGCAGAGCGAGACUCUGACUCAAAAAAAAAAAAAAAAAAAAGAAACCACACAUUAUGAAAAGUUCAGAGGCGGGGUGUUGUCAGGUGAGGAACAUAAAGUAGAGCUCUGGCUCUAUUUCCCCAGGCUCCUUUUGUUCUGCCUUCAUCCAUGUUGGUUCAUCUUUGGGCUGCAGUAUUCCAGUGUAUCACAUGUAGUCAUGCGAAUGCUUAGAUGGAGGAAGAAGGUGUGCACAUGUGUGUAUGUAUGUUUCCAAGGAUGGAGCUGCCUCUUUUGUUGUCUCUUCAUUAAAAGCGAAGAAGUUUUCCCUUCAAUGAAGAAAUGCUGGAAUCUUUCCUUUUUGAACCACUAGUCAAAACUGGGUCAUGUGCUCUUACAAAACUCACCAUAAUCUUGCCAUAUGAUGUAGCCAUCAUGCUCCUUGGUAUUUACACAAAGGAACUGAAAACUUACCUCCACACAAAAUCCCACACACAGAUGUUUAUAGCAGAUUUGUUCUUAGCUGCCAAAACUUGGAAGCAACCAAGAUGUCCUUCAGUAGGUGAAUGGAUAAAUAAUUGUAGUACAUCCAGACAAUGGAAUGCUAUUCAGUACUAAAGAGAAAUGAGUUAUCAAGCCAAGAAAAGACAUGAAGAAAUCGUAAAUGCAUAUUACGAACUGGAAGUAGCUAGUCUGAAAAGGCUACAUACGGUAUGAUCCCACCUAUAUGACAUUCUGGAAAAGGCAAAACUACGGAGACAGUAAAAAGAUCAGUGGUUGCCAGGGGUUGGGGGAAAGGUAGAACAUAGAAGAUUUUUAUGGCAAUGAAGCCACUCUGUAUGAUACUACAAUGGUGGAUAUGUGUCAUCACACAUUUGUUGAAACCCAUAGAAUGUAUAGCAACAAGAGCGAAUCCUGUCAACUCUGGGUGAUAAUGAUGUGUCAAUGUAGGUUCAUCAGUUGUAACAAAGGUACCACUCUGUGGGGGAUGUUGAAAAUGGGAGAGUCUAUGCACCUGUGUGUAUGUGAGGAAUCUCUGUACCUUCCUUUCAAUUUUGCUGUAAGCUUAAACUGCUUUAAAAAAAUAAAGACUUAAAAAAUGAAAA